AUUGAACGCUGGCGGCAGGCCUAACACAUGCAAGUCGAACGGUAACAGGAAUCAGCUUGCUGAUUCGCUGACGAGUGGCGGACGGGUGAGUAAUGUCUGGGAAACUGCCUGAUGGAGGGGGAUAACUACUGGAAACGGUAGCUAAUACCGCAUAACGUCGCAAGACCAAAGAGGGGGACCUUCGGGCCUCUUGCCAUCGGAUGUGCCCAGAUGGGAUUAGCUAGUAGGUGGGGUAAUGGCUCACCUAGGCGACGAUCCCUAGCUGGUCUGAGAGGAUGACCAGCCACACUGGAACUGAGACACGGUCCAGACUCCUACGGGAGGCAGCAGUGGGGAAUAUUGCACAAUGGGCGCAAGCCUGAUGCAGCCAUGCCGCGUGUAUGAAGAAGGCCUUCGGGUUGUAAAGUACUUUCAGCGAGGAGGAAGGUGUUGAGGUUAAUAACCUUAGCAAUUGACGUUACUCGCAGAAGAAGCACAGGCUAACUCCGUGCCAGCAGCCGCCGUAA
rnacentral:rRNA from 1 species